rnacentral:lncRNA from 1 species
GCGGGACGGCGCUGUGCCUCGAGGCGCGGCCUGGUGCUGGGGCCGCUGCGGGGCGGCCGGGCCGUUCUGUUCUGUUCUUUGCUGUUCCUUGCUGUGCUGAGCUGUGCCGGACGGGGCCGUGAGGCCGCGGCUGCCGUUGUGGCCCCGCCAUGGCGCUGCGCUGCGCUGCGGCAUUCCCUGUGUGUGUGUGAGCUGCGCGUCGUUUGGCGGUGUCGCUGUGUGUGUGGGGAAAGGCGGUCCGUAACGCAGAGGUCGCGGAGUGCUUUGGCGGCUGCGGCGCGGUUUGCGAUCCGUUCGCGCUGCCGUUGCGGUCGUGAAGCGAAGGAGAGGGUCCGGGUGGGGAUCGGGAAAGGGUUGUUGGCUGCGGGGCGGUGGGCGUGGGCCAAAGUGCCCAGGGCAGCGGUGACAGCCCUGAGCUGCCGGAGCCGAAGAGGCGUCGG